GAUGAACGCUGGCGGCGUGCUUAACACAUGCAAGUCGAGCGAGAAGUUUUGAAAAGAUUCUUCGGAUGAAAUUUAAAAUGGAAAGCGGCGGACGGGUGAGUAACGCGUAGGCAACCUGCCCCAUACAAAGGGAUAGCAUUUGGAAACGAAUAUUAAUGCCUUAUGAAACUUAACUAGUGCAUGCUAGGUAGGUCAAAGAUUUAUCGGUAUGGGAUGGGCCUGCGUCUGAUUAGCUAGUUGGUGAGGUAACGGCUCACCAAGGCGACGAUCAGUAGCCGACCUGAGAGGGUGAACGGCCACAUUGGAACUGAGACACGGUCCAAACUCCUACGGGAGGCAGCAGUGGGGAAUAUUGCACAAUGGGGGAAACCCUGAUGCAGCAACGCCGCGUGAACGAUGAAGGCCUUUGGGUCGUAAAGUUCUGUUCUAGGUGAUGAAAACUGACAGUAACCUAGGAGAAAGCCCCGGCUAACUCCGUG
rnacentral:rRNA from 1 species